rnacentral:lncRNA from 1 species
UCAAAACAGAAAAAUGGUUAUGGUUAAGUAAGCAUGAGCAUUCCUCAUUCCAUGUUGGCGUUCAUUCAUGUUUUUAACUAGUACAGUGGUACCUCAAGUUACAAAUGCCUCAGGUUACAAACACUUCAGGUUACAAACUACACUAACUGUCAGGGGUUCAGGGAGAGAGGCACAGAUGAGAGAGGAGACUGAGAGCGAGGGGGAAGAAUCCCGGAACGAGGAGGAGGAGGAUGACAAUGACUUGAGGGUUUCCAUGAGUCUUUCAAGUGAAUCGGAGGAUUCCCAAAAGGGGGCGCCCGUGGUCAGGCCAAGGGGAGUUACAGGGGGGACUUGUCAGGAGCAGGGGAGCAGCAGGGGAACCCCGAGUGGGAGUUGGAGAUCGGGGCCGGCUUCCCCGCCGGAACGGAGUGAAGAGGGUGGAGUUCCCAGUGUGACAGACGAAGCAGAGCAGGAAGCAGAGAGGGGAAGGAGAUCGGGGCAAGACGUCCUGCCGGAAGGGGCGGAGAGUAGUACAGAGAGUAGUGUAACUGUCAAGAGGAAGGUCAGAGGUAGCGAACGCACGCCAAGUUCAAAUGUGGAGGCGCGCGGAAAUGCGGAGAGCCCGGAGGAGGAGCCUGGUCCCAAAGCACGGAGGAGGGGGGAGCAGGCGUCUGGGGACUCAGCGUCAGGGGAAUCCAGGAGGGGAGGAACCCAGGGGGGCAGAAAGACCCUGCGGAAAAGGAAGGACAGGAAGAGGUGGACCAGCACAAGCCUCUUAAACUGGUGUAGAGGCGGGACUGAUUCAGAGGGGACUUCAGCGGUCUAAGCGUAACAGACGUGGGGCUGCGCGCCUCGGCUGUGGAGCAAACAAUGUACUUCAAUAAAGACUUUUGUAAAUAAAGUGGACUUGGCAUUGGUCUCUUGUGAGCUGGGACCUGAGGCGGCCCUGACACUAACCUAGAAGAGUUGAGAACUUUCCCCCAGGAUGGAAAUGGAAAUUGUGUGCAGCGGCAGCAAGAGG